rnacentral:rRNA from 1 species
UAAUAUAUCGGAACGUGUCCUGUAGUGGGGGAUAGCCCGGCGAAAGCCGGAUUAAUACCGCAUACGAUCUACGGAUGAAAGUGGGGGACCUAAGGGCAACUAAGGGCCUCACGCUAGAGGAGCGGCCGAUGUCGGAUUAGCUAGUUGGCGGGGUAAAGGCCCACCAAGGCGACGAUCCGUAGCUGGUCUGAGAGGAUGAUCAGCCACACUGGGACUGAGACACGGCCCAG